rfam:Trichobilharzia regenti genome assembly, scaffold: TRE_scaffold0041148
AUCCAGUUGACGAGUCCCAAAUAGGACGAAAUGCGCUUUAUCCUGGAU